UACAGAGGGUGCGAGCGUUAAUCGGAAUUACUGGGCGUAAAGCGCACGUAGGUGGCUUUGCAAGUCGAUUGUGAAAUCCCCGGGCUUAACCUGGGAACUGCAGUCGAAACUGCUUUGCUUGAGUAUGGGAGAGGGAGGUGGAAUUUCCGGUGUAGCGGUGAAAUGCGUAGAUAUCGGAAGGAACAUCAGUGGCGAAGGCGACCUCCUGGACCAAUACUGACACUCAAGUGCGAAAGCGUGGGGAGCAAACAGG
rnacentral:rRNA from 1 species